rnacentral:rRNA from 1 species
GACGAACGCUGGCGGCGUGCUUAACACAUGCAAGUCGAACGAAGAGCGAUGGAAGCUUGCUUCUAUCAAUCUUAGUGGCGAACGGGUGAGUAACGCGUAAUCAACCUGCCCUUCAGAGGGGGACAACAGUUGGAAACGACUGCUAAUACCGCAUACGAUCUAACCUCGGCAUCGAGGAUAGAUGAAAGGUGGCCUCUACAUGUAAGCUAUCACUGAAGGAGGGGAUUGCGUCUGAUUAGCUAGUUGGAGGGGUAACGGCCCACCAAGGCGAUGAUCAGUAGCCGGUCUGAGAGGAUGAACGGCCACAUUGGGACUGAGACACGGCCCAGACUCCUACGGGAGGCAGCAGUGGGGAAUCUUCUGCAAUGGACGAAAGUCUGACGGAGCAACGCCGCGUGAGUGAUGACGGCCUUCGGGUUGUAAAGCUCUGUUAAUCGGGACGAAAGGCCUUCUUGCGAAUAGUUAGAAGGAUUGACGGUACCGGAAUAGAAAGCCACGGCUAACUACGUG